UACGGAGGGGGGCUAGCGUUGUUCGGAAUUACUGGGCGUAAAGCGCGCGUAGGCGGACCUGCAAGUCGGGGGUGAAAGCCCGAGGCUCAACCUCGGAACUGCCUUCGAUACUGCGGGUCUCGAGUCCGGGAGAGGUGAGUGGAAUUCCUAGUGUAGAGGUGAAAUUCGUAGAUAUUCGCAAGAACACCAGUGGCGAAGGCGGCUCAGCUGGCCCGAUACUGACGGCUGAGGCACGGAAAGCGUGGGGAGCAAACAGG
rnacentral:rRNA from 1 species